UACGUAGGGUGCGAGCGUUAAUCGGAAUUACUGGGCGUAAAGCGUGCGCAGGCGGUUCGUUAAGUUCGAUGUGAAAGCCCCGGGCUCAACCUGGGAACUGCAUUGGAAACUGGCGGGCUUGAGUGUGGCAGAGGGGGGUGGAAUUCCACAUGUAGCAGUGAAAUGCGUAGAGAUGUGGAGGAACACCGAUGGCGGAGGCAGCCCCCUGGGCUAACACUGACGCUCAGGCACGAAAGCGUGGGGGGCAAACAGG
rnacentral:rRNA from 1 species